rnacentral:pre_miRNA from 1 species
AACCCGUAGAUCCGAACUUGUGCUCAUAUUCCACACAAGCUUGUAUCUAUAGGUCUG